rnacentral:rRNA from 1 species
UGAGGAAUAUUGGACAAUGGGCGCAAGCCUGAUCCAGCCAUGCCGCGUGCAGGAAGAAGCAUCUAUGGUGUGUAAACUGCUUUUGUACGGGAAGAAACACUCCUUCGUGAAGGAGCUUGACGGUACCGUAAGACUAAGGAUCGGCUAACUCCGUGCCAGCAGCCGCGGUAAUACGGAGGAUGCAAGCGUUAACCGGAAUCAUUGGGUGUAAAGGGUCCGUAGGCGGUUUAGUAAGUCAGUGGUGAAAGCCCAGCGCUCAACGAUGGAACGGCCAUUGAUACUGCUAGACUUGAAUUAUUAGGAAGUAACUAGAAUAUGUAGUGUAGCGGUGAAAUGCUUAGAUAUUACAUGGAAUACCAAUUGCGAAGGCAGGUUACUACUUGUAGAUUGACGCUGAUGGACGAAAGCGGGGGUAGCGAACA